UACGGGGGGGGCAAGCGUUGUUCGGAAUUACUGGGCGUAAAGGGCUCGUAGGCGGCCAACUAAGUCGGACGUGAAAUCCCCAGGCUCAACCUGGGAACUGCGUCCGAUACUGGAUGGCUUGAAUCCGGGAGAGGGAUGCAGAAUUCCAGGUGUAGCGGUGAAAUGCGUGGAUAUCUGGAGGAAUACCGGUGGCGAAGGCGGCAUCCUGGACCGGCAUUGACGCUGAGGAGCGAAAGCCAGGGGAGCAAACGGG
rnacentral:rRNA from 1 species